rnacentral:rRNA from 1 species
AGUGAACGCUGGCGGUAGGCCUAACACAUGCAAGUCGAACGGCAGCACAGUAAGAGCUUGCUCUUACGGGUGGCGAGUGGCGGACGGGUGAGGAAUACAUCGGAAUCUACUUUUUCGUGGGGGAUAACGUAGGGAAACUUACGCUAAUACCGCAUACGACCUACGGGUGAAAGCAGGGGAUCUUCGGACCUUGCGCGAUUGAAUGAGCCGAUGUCGGAUUAGCUAGUUGGCGGGGUAAAGGCCCACCAAGGCGACGAUCCGUAGCUGGUCUGAGAGGAUGAUCAGCCACACUGGAACUGAGACACGGUCCAGACUCCUACGGGAGGCAGCAGUGGGGAAUAUUGGACAAUGGGCGCAAGCCUGAUCCAGCCAUACCGCGUGGGUGAAGAAGGCCUUCGGGUUGUAAAGCCCUUUUUGUUGGGAAAGAAAAGCAGCAGGUUAAUACCCCGCUGUUCUGACGGUACCCAAAGAAUAAGCACCGGCUAACUUCGUG